AAGAAGAAGAAAAAGAGAGACAUAAACUUAGAUGGAAAAGAAGAAAGGGUGAGAGAGAGAAGAAGAUAAGGAGAAGAAAAAAAAUCCCUUCGCAAAACAAGAAGAAAAGAAAGGAAGAGUGCACAUUUUUCUUGCUAAAAGCCAAGGAAGAAAGAGUUGAGAGUAUCAUCAUCUUCUCAAUUAUUUUGAAAAUUAAGAGGUUUAGGUGUAUGUAUCAUAGUGAAUGUGAUGGAAAACACUUCUCAUGGCAUGCAAGUGAAAGAAUUAAAGAUGGAAAGAUUCGGCACCCUGCAAAUUUUCCACACUUGGAUGCAAAUUGAUCACGAUUAUCCUAAUUUUGGAUAAGAAGCAUGAAAUUUACGCUUGUUAUUGUCUAUUAAUGCAAUGAACCGAUAUGGUCUUCAAAGUACCUCAGAUAACACAUGGCCUGUGAUUUUGGUGAUUUGAAACCUAACUCCAUGGCUAAGUAUGAAGCUUAAGUUCAUGAUGUUGUCUAUGUUAAUUUUUGGUCCCAAACAACAAUGAUAUAGAUGUAUAUUUGGAAACUUUAAUUGAUGAUUUAAAAUAUAUGUCGGAGACAGGUGUGAAAAUAUAUCAUUGAUAUAGGAAAUAACAUUUUAAUUUGAGGGCAAUGUUGUCCGACACAAUUAGUGGUUUUUCAGUAUACAUCAAUCUAUCAUAUAUAGCAUUAAAGGUCAGUGUGCAUGUCAUACAUGUGAAGAGAAUACACAUUGGAUGCGGUUGGGAUAGUGUAAAAAGAAUUUUUUUUUCGGACGUCACAAAUUUUUACAUGAUAAUCAUCACCCACGUUAGUGGAAAAAAACAUUCAAUGGAAAAUCAGGAGAAAGAAGAGCUCUUGUGACAUUGACAUGUGAUCAGAUAUUUGAUAAGAUGAAUGAUAUGAACAAUAAAUUUAACAAACCUUUUGCAUGAGAGCUUGUCAAAAACGUGUGGAAGAAGAAGUCAAUUUAUUUUGAAUUUCCAUAUUGGAAAUCAUGUAAGACAUUUUCUAGAUAUGAUGCAUAUUGAAAUAUAAUAUAUUUGAUAGUUUUAUUAGUACGUUACAAAAUGUACCUGGAAAGUCUCAAGAUGACAUCAAUGUGCCAACGACUCAUACUCUAUCUAAAAAUGAGAUAAUAGUUUUCUGUAAGUUUCUUCGUAAAGUUAAAGUUUCAGAAGAGUACUCUUCAAAUAUUAGAAUGUUGGUAUUUAUCAAUAACUUUAUAUUGAUUAUUGAUUUAGGAUAUAUUAUCUUGUGUACUCUUUUUGUCAUCUUCUAUUUAUCGCAUGGUUAGUAACAGAAAUGUGUACAUUUGGGAGACAUGCUACACCAUUAACCACUAUAUGUUGGCUAUGCUUGUCCAUAUUUUACUUACUAUUUUGACCACUAUCAAUAUAUAGUAUUAUUUUUAUUUUUAUUUUGUCUUGAAAUUUCUAAUUUUUUACCCCAUCUUUAUACUCCUGUACUCCUGUACAAUCCAGAGUAAAUGAUAAGGAUGUUAAGGCAAACGAGUAAGUUACGUCAAAAAAGAAGGUACAAUGAUACACGUAAAGAGGAAUGCUAUGGACAAUCACUUAGUCAAUGAUUUACUAUUUAAGCAUUAGUUAAUCAUUAACUAAUUUAAUUUCACGAUAUUUUAAAUAAAAACACAAAAACUGCAACAAGUUAGAAAUAUUGAGAAAGUUGGACCUUGCAGUAGGCCAAUUGCAUCACCAAACUCUUGCAAAAUCAAGACUUUAAAAGUCUUCCUCUAAAAAUGGUUAUGCACCUGAUUCUCGACAUGUGCAGUGUCUUGAAACAUUUGUAGAAACAAAUAUGUCUACAGACGUGGACAUACGUGAUAUUCCAAAGGAGAAAUGUAUUUUUGGUGUUUCUUAUGUUGAAA